GUGAGGAUUAAUAUAGAGGCUCCAAAAAAAAGUCUCCAUUAUUAACAGUAACAUUAUUACAAUAUUCAGUAAUAGUAACACAUGCAAACCACUAGUACUAGUAAAAUAAGAUCUGUUACACACAUACAAACGACCGAGGGUAUAGCUGCUAGGACACUAACGUCGUAAAAUCACGGAGUAUAGCUAGCAGGACGCAUAACCUCGACCGUGGCCUAUAUAUGAUCUAUAUAUAUCGAUCGAACAAUGGAUGCAUUGAUCGCGGAGACCGAGACGAAUGAGGGUUGAGGAGAUUACUCCCUCAUGCCUUGGCGGCUCAUUCUCGGGAUGGGUUUUGGGACUUCGAAUUCGUUCUUCGGCUUGGGCUCCGGCUCCUUGAUUGGGUUCUUCUCGCGCGUCCUGUCGGUCUUGCUUUGCUCGACCUGCUUCUCGUGCUCCUUCUUCUUCUCGUCGUUGCCGUGGGGAUCUUGUUUGGAUGAUCCAUGGAUGUAAUAAUGUAGCAGCUGCCUCUGCGCGUUGCACUGACAAACUGCCACAGCCGCUCCUUGCUUGCUCUGUCGCUAGCUUGGUCUCGAGGGAGGGAGCGUAGAGAUAUAUAAUAGGGGGAGCAACUUACUUGACCUGUUAUUCUAUAAGCAGCUUACUUGUCGUCCUGCUGGCUUGUGUACUAGGUCAUAUACCAGUCCCAGUCCCAGUCCCAGUCCUGCACUACUCCUGCGCGUGUUUACUUGUAUAUAUUACGGUAAAGUCAGUCCACCCUAACUAGAAACUUUCCGCACAAAAAUACUAGUCAUCUAUGCAUCGUCUCCUCCUCUGUACGUCACCACUGGUCAUUAUUGUAUUUUUUUAGAUAUAUAAGCACGGGCCAUUCUCUAAUUUUUACGUGUAACAAAGAGAGCUAGCUAGACGAGAUCACGUGGUUUCUUUCUUUCUCGGGUUAUAGUUUGGUAGAAAAGAGGCAAACCCAGGGAGGAAAUAAAACUCCCAUAAGGCAUGUUUAAGAGCACGGAGAAUGCUUUAGUCCAGUCCCUUGUUCCCUUUGCUCCCAGACAUAUCCUAAAUAAAUAAAUAUCUUAUUCAAAUAUACCUCCUUGGGAUGCUACAUGGGAAAUGAUAGGAUCCUAAAAGAAUUUAGGUUUCCAAACUAUCCCUUCGAGUUAACUUUGGUAGCAUUGUUGUUUUCUUAUUGCGGUAAUGUUGGGUACAAGAUCACUAUAUUUAAUUAGAACAUGGAGCGACAACCCGAGAAACAGUACAACCACAAGGAAUAUUAUGGCUCUGGUCUUGUCUAAUUAUUUAGGAAAGCUAAUUAUAGGAUUAGCCUUACUCGAAAGAGGAAAGAAGGGAAGCGUUCCGCAAGUUUAGAUCGGUUCUCGGACUGAUUUCCUCUAUGGUAGCUUAUUAGUAGAGGGAGAUCUCUACCACCUUGUCCUGAAACCUUAGCGGUUUAGCUCAUACUAGUGGNNNNNNNNNNNNNNNNNNNNNNNNNNNNNNNNNNNNNNNNNNNNNNNNNNNNNNNNNNNNNNNNNNNNNNNNNNNNNNNNNNNNNNNNNNNNNNNNNNNNAGGAGCAGCAAGACGAGGGCGGCUAGGGUUUUACGGAGCGCGGAACAGAGAAUUCAAAACAGCGCCGCCCCCGCCCCCUUUUAUAGGCGGGCGCGGCUCUUCGGGAAACCCGCAAUCCGACAGGCGCGCGCUUCGGGAAACCGCAAUCCAACAGUCGCCGUCCAUCAACGGUCACAUCAAAAACCCCCGCGGAACCACUUCGAGCGAGGGCAGCGUCUCCGCCAUCUAGCGACGUCUUCGCACCAGGUGACUUUGUCGAACUGGUCCCUCGGAGGGCAAAUGUUGGGCGAAGGCAAAGACGCACCCUUCGCUCGAGGCCUUCGCUGCAGCCGCUGGUCCGACGGAGACAAAGCGGGCAGGGACACCCUUCGCAGGACUCGGCACUUGACGAAGGCCUGCGGCGACGUCCUCCCACGGCGCGGCCUCGUUCAGCCCCAAGCCCACGUGUGAUCUGGCCCAUCGAACGGGCCCCGCGUGGCCGCCUCUGUAUUACGGGCCUAACUUGUAAAGGCAUACUUGUAAUUACAGCUUGUAACCCUGCUUUAUGGAAUAUUCCGGGGAUAAACCAGGCGUCUGAGGGCACAUGCGUCCUUAACACAAGACGCUGGGCACUCAGAUACCUAUAAAUACCCCCGCAUAGUGCCCGUGAGAGGCUAGAUUAACAGAGCUAUUGCUCCCGUGCACGUUAACCCUGUUGUCACCACUGUUCACCCUUGUUGGCCUACUUGCACAGAGAGCAAGUUCCAACAGGGAGACGGGUUCUCUACAUCUUCUUGCGCCUCUACUGCUGAUGGAAGGGAAGGGAAGGUAGCGGAUCUGGUGAUCCGUGGUAACGUAGUUCUCAAUAAGAGGAAGCCCUAGCCGAUCAUCUCCGAUCUAGGUAGACUGUACCAGCGUGCCCACCCACCCCACGCUAGGUGUCAGGUGCGUCCCCACCAAUGCACCAGGUCAACCUCCCCACGUGCGUUAGUCAAACUUCCGGUUCAACAUCUAACUUCCCACAUGGGACGCAAUCCAUAAAUUGCAGUUCUAUUGUUUGCAUAAAUAGUCCACGGAAAUAGCAUAAAUAAUUCACAGAGAUAGAUAAAACCCUGCCCAACCACUAGACCACGUGCCCAUGCGCAGGUGCAUGGAUGCAGAUCCUAUUUUUAUGAUAAAUCCGAUAAUUAUGAUAGAUCGUGGGAAUUUUCAUUGCAUGUACGCAAUUUUAAAUGACAUUUUCGUUUCCAUUGCAUGCGCGCAAAAAUUGGAUGGCUCUAUAAAUAUAAGAUCGCUCCAACAGACAUGCGACUAGGCUUGUUAAAACAAGUUUAUGAUAUUUGCUGAUACUAAUUAUGCUACACGGUGUAGGUAUUAUGCAAUUCGGUACACUGCGUAAAAUUAUGUUCCUAUUACAUGCGCAUAAAUUAGGAUGACAGGAAUGUGGGUUCAAUGGAAAUUGAUUGGUACGCAUGGAAACAAUAAAACCUUAUUUUAAAUGCUACAUUUUCUCCAUAAAUAUAGUAUCGCUCUAACAGCCAUGCAACUAGGUUCGUUACAACCAAUUUUUAGUCAAUACUGAUACUAAUUAUGCUACAUGGUCUUGGUUUUAUGCAAUACGGAAAGCUACAUAAAAAAUUGCCACGUGGUACACCGUUAGACGCAUCUCUAGAUUCGAGCAUUAAAACCCUAAGUUUGAGCAUAAAACACCUCAGUUAUAUGCAUAAAUGCUGAGCCAUGUGACAGAGGUUGAUAACUCUGGUGCGUUGUAUUCACGAUCCUAUUUUUAUGGUAGAUCCAAAAUUUAUGGGAGUUGUUGGAACUUGCUCUCAGUCGCAAGGAGGCCAACAAGAGUGAACAGUGAUGACAACAGGGUUACGUGCUAGAAGGCAAUAGCUCUGUUAAUCUGGCCUCCCACAGGCACUGUGCAGGGGUAUUUAUAGGUACCUGAGCGCCCAGCGCCUUGUGCUAAGGACGCAUGUGCCCUCAGCUACCUAGGUUAUCCCCAGAAUAUUCUCAUAAAGCGGGUUACAGACUGUAAUUACAGGGAUGCCUUUACAGAUUAGGCCCGUAACGCGCGGCGGCCACGCAGGGCCCGUUACAAUGGGCCAGAUCGCACGUGGGCCUCUGAGCUGGACGAGGCCGCACUGUGGGAUGACUUCGUCGCCGGUCUUCGUCUGGUGCUGAUCAAGCGAAGGGUGUCCCUGCCUGUUUUGUCUCUGUCAGAGCAGCGGCUCUCAGCGAAGACUUCGAGCGAAGGGUGGCGUCUUUGCCUUCGCCCCAACAUUUGCCCUCCGAGGGACCAGUUCGACAAAGUCACCUGGUGCCGAAGACGUCGCUAGAUGGCGGAGACGCUGCCCUCGCUCGAAGUGGUUCCGCAGGGGUUUUUGAUGUGACCGUUGAUUGACGACGUACUGUUGGAUUGCGGGUUUCCCGAAGCGCCGCGCCCUGUCGGAUUGCGGGUUUCCCGAAGAGCCGCACCCUGCCUAUAAAAGGGGCGGGGUCGGCGCUUUUUGAACUUCACUUUCCACGCUCCGUGAAAACCCUAGCCGCCCGUCGUCUUGCUGCUCGUCUGCCCGCCGUGCUCUUGUUCGCCGGAGAUCUGGCUCGAGUGAAGCAGACCGCCCGCCGCCGCCGACGGUACGUAGCGAUGCCGUCCUCUUCUUCUUCCGCUGCCGCUACGCCGCCGGCCGAUUCCUCGCCGCCGGUCGCCGCCUCGUCUGAGGAGACGCUGAGUAGUUUGAUGGUGGAGGAGUUGCGCGCCGGCGAUUCUGUUGAUUUUGGCGUGUCGCGGAUGUCGUCGGCCCGCGUGCAAGAUAUGCAGCGGUUGGGUUACUUCGGCGGCGGAGUUGCUCGUGCCCGGGGACGGAGGAAGUCCCCGAGCCGGAGGGUGAGUUGGUUGUUUUCGAGGCGUUCUUCGCCGCCGGUCUCCGCUUGCCUGCGCACCGGUUUGUUGGCGAAGUCCUGCGCAGGUUCAACGUUCAAAUACAUCAGCUGACACCGAAUGCCGUGGUGGCUCUAUCGAAGUAUGUCUGGGCGACGACUUCGUACGGCGGACAGCCAUCGGUUGAAGUUUUUGCGAAGUAUUAUUGUUUGCACUGGCAGAAGAGGAUGAUUGGGGACGAAGUCGCUCAGUUUGGGUCCUGCACAUUCACGCCGAAGACCGGCAAGACCACGAUGCAGGUAGUCGAGUUGGUUCCUUGCGCCCGCAACAAGUGGGGCAACUGGAAUGAAUUUUGGUUUUACGUUGCUAAGGGUACCGUCGAAGGCCAUGAGGGACUCCCCGUGCCCGAGAUGUGUUCUCAUUAUUACUCAGCGUACCCGCCCUUUGAAGUGGCAGAGGAGGAUGUGGACGAAGGGGCCCUUCGGUGCGCCGCCAGCCUGAGCAGUGGGCGCGAUUUGGUUGAAGAGUUUGUCGCGUACGGGGUAUGGCCCUUGGCGCAUGGCUGGGCGUUGGGCGAAGUGUGCCCUCGCCAGAUGCCUUUUCACGGUGGAAGGGUGGUGCGAAGUCCUGCCUUCGCACUGAAUCUGCAAAACCGCGACCCGGCCGCCUUUGUGUGUGAGGCGGAGGAUGGGGCGGUGCGGCUCGUUGGACGUUACGUGCCGAGGACAGAGGGCCAGCGCAGUUUUGAUAUCCGCGGGUCGAAUGACCGUUUGAACAGGGUUUUUAAAUUAAAUCAAUUGCCGUAUGACGGCUAUCCUGGUCAAGACGACGUGGACCGCCGUGGGAAGAAGCCGGUGGUGGAGACUGGAGACGACCCUGCGCCGGCGGCCGCCCCAUCCUCUAAAAAGAGAAAAUUAGGUACUGCUAUGGGAGGACUUGGGGUUUCUGAUAGUUUUGCUAGAGAGUUGAUGAGGACGUGCGUGGCCCCGGGGGAAGGAUGUCUUCGCCCGAGCUCCGUGAGUCUUCGGCUCGGAUGCUGAGGGUUACCGGGGGUUGCUGGCCUAGGAAUGUUCCUAUCCCCCGCGCGGCUGGCGAGGACUUUUUUACAUCUCGCAUGGUUCGUGAAUGGAGAGUUUUUCCUUACGGGUGGAAUAUUGCUGCUGUUGUGUCGGCAGUGAUGGACAAGGAUCGCCAGGGAGCAGCACAGAAGCGCCAGGCGGCUGUCAGGCUCGUUGAAGCUAGGCCGAAGAGGCAGCGGGGGUCUGCGAAGGCUGCGGCCUCCGGCGGAGGCAAGCCGCCGCUGGCGGCGAAGUCGGGCGCCCCUACGUCUAGCAAAGCGCCGGAGGCGACGGCAGGCGUCGGGGGCUCAAAAUCGACGAAGGCAGUGCUGCCGGCCAGCAGAGUGCCGGAGGUCGCGAAGGCGGCCCGAGCGUUGCCGUCGGCAGGCAAGCGUGUCCCGACUUCGCCACCGAUAUUAGUGUGGAGGACUAUCUUGGUGGUAAGUCGUUGGCUCCUCUCUCUUUUUUAUUAUUAUUAUUAUUAUUACUUAUUCGUCGUUACGUCGCAGGGUCGGACGAAGGCCAACUUGCUAUAGUUGCGCCUGCCGCGGCGACAAUGAUGGUUGCCGUACCGCCGAAGGCGAAGGGCGGGGCUCUUAGCGCCGGAGGCGAGGUGGCGGUCCUCGCGGCUGUGAGGGAUGAGGCGGGAGCUGCGUCCCGCCGGCUGAAGGAGGUGGUGGAGUCGCUAAGUCAGGUCCACUGAGCCAGACUUCGUUUUUUUUGCUGGGGCCGCGGUCUUAUGUGUGUUGUGCAAGUGGCUGACUUCGCCAACCGCACGGCGUCGGGCGGGGCCCUCACGGCAGUUGUGUCUGCCGAAGUCGAGAGACUUCGGACACAACAUGCUGACGCCGUCCGAGAGAAAUCGGCCGCCGACAGCAAGUGCCGCAAGCUGGCGGACAAGGUGGCCGCGCUGGAGGGAGAGAAGGCUGACCUCCGGCGCCAAUUGGCGGGGGAGAGGAGGGAGACCAACGAGGCCCUCGUCCAGGCGCAGGCUACGCAGGCGGAGGCCAAGCUGGCCCGGGCGGAGGGCAAUCUUGCCAGGGAGCGCGCCGAGCAGCUGCAGGAGCGGCUCAUCACCCAGGAGAGCUGCAGGCCGAGGCCGCGGUGCGCGCGGAGGCCGAACGGACGCGCACACAGCUUAUGGAUACAUAUCGUGAGCUGGGUGCGCGGACCGGUGACUUCGAAGUGCUGGACCGAGAGCCUGGGCUUCGCUGUCUGGAAUGGGUGCAGGAGGAGCUGCAGGAACUCCCCACUGUCGUGGGGGGUUUAUGUCGUACGCCUCCCUGGUCACCUGCGAGGGGGCGAUGAACGCGCUCUCUCGCGAAGGGUGCCGACACUUCGAGGUCUUCGACCAGGCUGAUGAAGAUUUUGAUCGAGAUAUCUAUAAGGUUGAAGACCCCGUAGUGAAGGAAUCCGUCGGGGCCAUCUAUGACCGGAUGUGGGGUCCGCACGGUCGCGAGGUGGUCAGGGAGCGGGCCGAGACGGCGAGGGCUCAGGUAAUGUCUUCGUUUGUUUGGCGUUUGUUGGAUGUGGGCUGUGCGUGUGUUUGCUGAAUUUUGUGUGUUUUGUCUUAGGCGGCGCGUGGCGAGCGGGUGGACGACUUCGGGGCGUUGAACAGCGCGCUGCCUGACCCGGAGCCGACCCCGGCGGAGGCCGUGUCUGGGGUCGCCCUGGAGCCAACCCCGGAGACUGCGGAAGACGCGCCGGAUGCCCCCACAUCCGCUGCGGCCGGCGAAGACCUGCCCCCAAAGGUGGCCGAAGGCGCGCUUGAUGCCCCCGCAGCUGCUGCGCCGAGUGCUGAAGAUCCCGCGGCGGUGGCGGCGGAAACAACAGCGGAAGCAACGGCGGAGCCAACGGCGGAGGCUCUCGCAAUGUCAGGGCCUUCGCAGGUGGCGUAGUGGGUGUAGAGGGUUGGGGAAUUUUGGAUAUGUUGCUGAAUUUUGGUUGCUGCGCAGGUUCAAGAUUUUGGGCCUGCGCACGCAACCGCUACUACUGAAUUUUUGGCGGCUUCGACCGCGGAAGGUGGUAAUGAAUGUGGUGGAUCUGCAUCUGAGUUUUUUGAUUUUGCUGACUCUGGGAGCUCGGUUGAGUGGACUGAGGAGUCGUCGGAGGAGGACUUGGACUACUUUGCGGCCUUGGAUGUGGCUGCGGCGGAGGCCUCGCCACACGCCGUGGACGCACAAGAUGUGCCAGGUCCUAGCACCGGGCGCCGACGACGAAGGGCGGUUGCGAAGCAUAGGGUUAGUGGGGAGGAGGGGGCUCGGCUUCGUGUGAGUAGGGCUGGUCGGCAGGAACUGUUGUCUUUGCCGGCCGCCGCGAGUACAGGUGAAGGGGAACUGCGAAGUCUUUUUGCGGGUGAGGAGCUUAGGAUAAUGUUAUUUAAUUAUAGGGAGAUGGGAAUUAUUCCUAAGGUUGAGCCGAUGUAGAGUGUGGCGCCCUCGCUUGUAUAUGUGUAAAGGCUUGUAUGAUGAAGUCGUGUGCCCUCGCUUGUCUGUGCCUGCGAAGGCGUUGUGUACUUUGUCUGGUGUGUUUUGUUAUGCUGUGCUGGCGCGAUUGUAGUCGGUCUUGGCACGGACGGUUUGAUGUUAUCGUUUCUGCUUUUGUUGUGCUAGUCCGGCUGCACCCUUAGGCGACUUCUGCGCGGAUAGUCUUCGCGGUAGACGUCGGUUUUUUCACACUUGUUGUGCUAGUCCGGCUGCACCCUUAGGCGACUUCUGCGCGGAUAGUCCUCGCGGUAGACUUCGUUUUUUUCGCACUUGUUGUGCUCGUCCGACUGCACCCUUAUGCGACUUCUGCGCGGAUAGUCUUCGCGGUAGACUUCGUUUUUUUCGCACUUGUUGUGCUCGUCCGGCUGCACCCUUAGGCGACUUCUGCGCGGAUAGUCUUCGCGGUAGACUUCGUUUUUUUCGCACUUGUUGUGCUCGUCCGGCUGCACCCUUAGGCGACUUCUGCGCAGAUUUAUCGCACGCGAGGGUGGCUAGCGCUUAGCCUCGUGGUGACCUCGAAUUGGUCGAAUGUCGAAGACCGUCGUCGCGGUCUUUUUUCGACGCAUGUUUUUGCGGGGGAUUUUUCUCACAUAUAUUACAUGGCUCCGCCUCGUUAAAAACCUCACCCCCUGGGAGGAAAAGAGUGCGGGCCGGUACAAGAUUGUUUUUGGCGAAUUACAAGGGCGAAAUCAGCCCUGAUGAGUCAAACAAAAAAUUUGCGGAGGUUGUCGAUGUUCCAGGAGUGCUCCAGGUCCUCGCCGUUUGGCGUUGUGAGCCUGUAAGCGCUGGGGGAAGCUUUUGUCUUGACUAUAAAGGGCCCCUCCCACUUGGGCUCCAGCUUGCCCCUGGACUCCGUCCGAGCUGUUCGGACGAGUACGAGGUCCCCUUCGCUGAACUCCCUCGGGAUGACUGUGUGGUCGCGCCAUGCUUUGGUCUGGGCUUGGUAUUUGUUUAGGGCCUGUAGGGCGAAGACUCGGUCUCCGUCGAUGAGAUCCUUUGAAGUUGGCUCGUCCACGUCGGGGACGGCUGACGGAACUGUUUGCGGGGACCCAUGCUUUAUUUCUUGCGGGGUCAUGGCCUCCGAUCCGUAUAGAAGGCGGAAGGGAGUAAACCCAGUCGCCCUGCACUCAGUCGUGUUUAGUGCCCAGACUGCCUCAGGUAACAAAUCGGUCCAUCUGCCCUUUUUUUCAUCAAGGAGCAUCUUCUUGACAGCUGUGAAAAUUUUCCCAUUGGCGCGUUCCACGACCCCGUUGGACUGCGGAUGAUAAACUGAAGCGAAGGCAAGCUUGGUGCCGAUGGAGAAACAAAAAUCCUUGAAGUCUUGGCUGUCAAACUACUUGCCGUUGUCGACUGUUAGUUCGGACGGUACUCCGAAGCGGCAAACAAUGUUUUGCCAGAAGAAUUUUUGGGCAGUCUUUGAUGUUAUUGUAGAAACAGCCCUCGCCUCGAUCCAUUUGGUGAAGUACUCGACGGCGAUGAAGGCAAACUUAAGGUUCCCCUGAGCGGUGGGCAGGGGCCCGACAAUGUCCAGGCCCCAGCGCUGGAGAGGCCAUGUAUGGGCGAUCAGCUUUGUAUACUGCGAGGGGCUGCCUGACCGAGGAGAAAACUUUUGGCAGGCUUCGCAGGACCUUGAGACCCGGUUUGCGGCGCAGAUCAUUGCGGGCCAGUAAAAACCCUGGCGGAUCACCUUAGCAGCCAGGGCCCUUGGCCCUGCGUGAGAGCCGCAUGUGCCACUGUGGACUUCACGUAGGAUCUGCAUGCCUUCGGUUUCGGUGACGCACUUAAGCAUUGGCUGACUGACCCCUUUCUUGUAGAGUUGGCCUUCAAUCAGUGCGAAGUCCCGGCUUCGAUGUCUGAGGCGCUUGGCCUCGCUGACGUCGGUUGGAUGAUAGUACCCCUGCAGGAACAGGGUUAUUGGUGCCCGCCAGUCCUCGGUCAUGAUUAGGUUGACUAUGCGGUGGCCCUCGCUGUCAUUAGUUAUUUGGAGCCCUUCGGGGCUCCGGACGGCUGGCGUGCCGAUGAUAUGAAAAAACACAUCGGAGGGCAAGGACUCGCCCCUGGCGGCGGCCUUGGCCAAUGCGUCGGCCUCCUCGUUCUUGGCCCUAUCCACAUGCUGCAGGGUGAAUCCCUUGAAUUGUCUCUCGAGACUUCGGAUGGCCGCGAGGUAUUGCAUAAGAGCGGGGUCCUUUGCUGCGUAGUCUUUCUCGACCUGGCCGGCAACUAUCUUGGAGUCUGUUUUGAUGAUACAUGUGGUGACUCCGAGGGCCCUUAGCUUGCGGAGGCCGAGGAUGACUGCUUCAUAUUCUGCUAUAUUGUUUGUGCAUCUGUCGGAUUCCAGAGCGAAGCUGAGGCGUGCUGCAUAUCUGUGCUUGACCCCGGCUGGUGAGGUGACGACUGCAGCGGCGCCUGCCCCCGCAUGGCACCAUGCGCCGUCGCAAUGGAUAGUCGCAAUGGAUAAAUACCCCUGCACAGUGCCCGUGGGAGGCCAGAUUAACAGAGCUAUUGCCUUCUAGCACGUAACCCUGUUGUCAUCACUGUUCACUCUUGUUGGCCUCCUUGCGACUGAGAGCAAGUUCCAGCAUGAGUCAAACUGAUGCGGUUUCUAUUUUUAUGCAGAUCCAAAAAUUAUGGCAGAUCGUGGGAGUUUCCAUUGCAUGCGCAAAAAAUUUGGAUGAUAUUUUUGUUUCCACUGCACGUAUACAAAAAAAAUAGGAUAACAUGAUUCACGUAGAGCAUAAAUUCUUAUAUAAAGUCGCAUAAAUACAUACACUGUGAAGCAUAAUUGAUAAAAAAACUAAUAUCGGUUCAACUAACAGUCCCCGCAUGAAUUAGGGACAGUUUUAUGGCAACAUAAAAUUGGAUUCAUCGUCGUAAAAAUCAUCACUGGAAUGCAUAAAUAGUGCAAGUAGCAUGCAUAAAACACAAUCAUCGAUGGUAUAUACAUGGAUUGGAUAGUUCGUCGCCGAAGGACGAUCCCGAGGCCGUUAGAUCAAAGGACGCCGCUAGAGCCACCGGAUAGGAGGAGUUGGCCGUCGAAGGACGCCAGAGCCACCCACGCCUCAAGUGGACGCCAUCGCUAGAGACGACCACGCCUCAAGUGACUGCCGGAGCGACCCUCGUCUCUCGUGGCCACAGCCGCCGCUGCCGAAGCCUACUGCGCCUCGUGCAACCGUCGUUGCCACCGGGCCUGGGGUGCGCCACCGCCGCUCGUCUGCUUUGGGAGCGUCGUCGCCGCUUGCCCGCCAACCUCGGGAGUGUCGCCGUCGCUCGAUCCUGAUGGACCGCUAUUGUCGCUGGCCCCCGGGGUCGCCGUCGCUCGCACGCCCGAGGGAACCGCCACCACCGAUCGUACCCCUAAGGGAACCGCCGCCACCACUAAAACCUAAUCCAUGGCGACCUGGGGAUGUUUUUAUAGCCGCCCAAAUCUGGUUCGGCUGAACCGGAUGGCACCGUUGGGCCAGAGCUUUCUCGAUUGGAGUCCGCCUGCUGCCACCGACGUCCCAUGACUCCCGUACCCGGCCCGACUGAUAAACGUUGUCAUUGGUAAUUUCAAUCCAAAUUUAGGUAUUACUUUCGUAAAAUGUGUAAUUUAAAUGUAUAUUUAAGGUUUAUUUCAUGUAAUAAUGAUAAUUUAAAGAUAAAUUUACGUGUAAAUUUUAAUCAUCUUUAAUAAUGACGGAGUGGGUAAUUUAAAUACAACUUUAGAAGGUUAUUUCAAAUCAUCUUCAAUAUCAUGAAUAUUAGCAGGAUGCUAGGUAUUUUUCUUAAAAAUGGCUAUGAUUGUUUGAGGCUAUUGAUAAACGACUGGAUGUUAAGAAUUUCUAAGAUUUAUAUUUUUCUAGUGCAUCUUUUGUGAGGAUUAAUAUAGAGGCUCCAAAAAAAAGUCUCCAUUAUUAACAGUAACAUUAUUACAAUAUUCAGUAAUAGUAACACAUGCAAACCACUAGUACUAGUAAAAUAAGAUCUGUUACACACAUACAAACGACCGAGGGUAUAGCUGCUAGGACACUAACGUCGUAAAAUCACGGAGUAUAGCUAGCAGGACGCAUAACCUCGACCGUGGCCUAUAUAUGAUCUAUAUAUAUCGAUCGAACAAUGGAUGCAUUGAUCGCGGAGACCGAGACGAAUGAGGGUUGAGGAGAUUACUCCCUCAUGCCUUGGCGGCUCAUUCUCGGGAUGGGUUUUGGGACUUCGAAUUCGUUCUUCGGCUUGGGCUCCGGCUCCUUGAUUGGGUUCUUCUCGCGCGUCCUGUCGGUCUUGCUUUGCUCGACCUGCUUCUCGUGCUCCUUCUUCUUCUCGUCGUUGCCGUGGGGGAUCUUGUUUGGAUGAUCCAUGGAUGUAAUAAUGUAGCAGCUGCCUCUGCGCGUUGCACUGACAAACUGCCACAGCCGCUCCUUGCUUGCUCUGUCGCUAGCUU
rnacentral:lncRNA from 1 species